AAGCGGUGGAGUAUGUGGUUUAAUUCGAUGCAACGCGAGGAACCUUACCUGGCCUUGACAUCCCGGGAAUUUCCUGGAAACAGGAGAGUGCUUUCAUUAGAGAGAACCUGGAGACAGGUGCUGCAUGGCUGUCGUCAGCUCGUGUCGUGAGAUGUUGGGUUAAGUCCCGCAACGAGCGCAACCCUUGCCUUUAGUUGCCAGCAGUUCGGCUGGGCACUCUAAAGGGACUGCCGGUGUCAAACCGGAGGAAGGUGGGGAUGACGUCAAGUCCUCAUGGCCUUUAUGGCCAGGGCUACACACGUACUACAAUGGCCGGUACAAAGGGCAGCGACAUUGCGAGAUGGAGCGAAUCCCGAAAAGCCGGUCUCAGUCCGGAUUGGAGUCUGCAACUCGACUCCAUGAAGUUGGAAUCGCUAGUAAUCGUGGAUCAGCAUGCCACGGUGAAUACGUUCCCGGGCCUU
rnacentral:rRNA from 1 species